GAUGAACGCUGGCUACAGGCUUAACACAUGCAAGUCGAGGGGAAACGACGGGGAAGCUUGCUUCCCCGGGCGUCGACCGGCGCACGGGUGAGUAACGCGUAUCCAACCUGCCUCUGACUGAGGGAUAACCCGUCGAAAGUCGGCCUAAUACCUCAUGGUAUCGUCUGCGGGCAUCCAACGACGAUUAAAGAUUUCAUCGGUCAGGGAUGGGGAUGCGUCUGAUUAGCUUGUUGGCGGGGUAACGGCCCACCAAGGCUACGAUCAGUAGGGGUUCUGAGAGGAAGGUCCCCCACAUUGGAACUGAGACACGGUCCAAACUCCUACGGGAGGCAGCAGUGAGGAAUAUUGGUCAAUGGGCGAGAGCCUGAACCAGCCAAGUAGCGUGCAGGAAGACGGCCCUAUGGGUUGUAAACUGCUUUUAUGCGGGGAUAAAGUGAGGGACGUGUCCCUCAUUGCAGGUACCGCAUGAAUAAGGACCGGCUAAUUCCGUGCCAGCAGCCGCGGUAAUACGGAAGGUCCUGGCGUUAUCCGGAUUUAUUGGGUUUAAAGGGAGCGUAGGCCGUGGAUUAAGCGUGUUGUGAAAUGCAGGUGCUCAACGUCUGCACUGCAGCGCGAACUGGUCCACUUGAGUGUGCGCAACGCAGGCGGAAUUCGUCGUGUAGCGGUGAAAUGCUUAGAUAUGACGAAGAACUCCGAUUGCGAAGGCAGCUUGCGGGAGCACAACUGACGCUGAAGCUCGAAAGUGCGGGGUAUCGAACAGU
rnacentral:rRNA from 1 species